rnacentral:rRNA from 1 species
AGACUCAAUGAGUGUGGGUGUGGCCUAGCCACACUUGAGAUAGAGCCCGUCCCGGCUGGCAACUGCCGGGAGUCAACGGAACCUGCGGAAGGAUCAUUA